rnacentral:lncRNA from 1 species
GGAGAAUUUUUGGCGCCUACAUUCUAGGAGAGAAAGGUGUGGGGCAGCAACAAGGAGAAGAGUCCUCCAACUAAAACUUAUCCUAACAAACCCUAACCCUUGGUUUAAAUAGAAAUAAGAGGGGCGCCUCCUCCUGUAGUGAUAAGAUCAUUUUAGGCGUGAGAUAAGAUAGAGAAAAGGGGCAUGGGCAAUGAGAUAGGUGUUGGAUCAUGAGA